rnacentral:misc_RNA from 1 species
UUAUGGGAUCUCACAUCUGUCCCCGUUUUUUCGUCAUUCUUGGCUUAAACCCUUCGAGGCCGUAUACUCAUUAUAUCCUUGUUGAUUCUGUAUUGAAUGGAUCUUUAAGAAUACAUCAGGAAGUACAUAUCAAAUGCAGAGCAUGCGAAUUCAUAGAAGUAUUUUUCUGGCCAAAAGGUAAGACGAAUCCUAUAAAAAAUUGAGGCAUUUAAGAAAGACAUUUCAUGGAAAAAUACUCUGUAACUUAAGAUACUUGAAAAUGAGCUUCAUUUACGGGUGUAGCAAAUUGUUGAGCACUCACAAAACAGCGAUAAAAAUAUACUUAAAUCAGCUUCGAAGAUGAGUAGAUAAAUCAACCUGCGCCAUAAUCCUUAAGACUUAGCCAUUGAAAAUCGAGCCAUCUAUCAUUCGGGAAAUCUAUUCAAGCUGAGUACAACAAGGAUUCCCAUCCCGAAAAAAAACAGAAACACAAAGAACUCCCUUUUGGCUGUCAUGUGUUGCUGCCGUAAUCAUUUGAUUUGGAUACGCUUGCAAAUUCCCUUAGAGUGUGUUAUCUGCCGGAGUUUGGGGUAUUGUUAUGAGAAGAAAAAGGAAUGAAAUCCUUCAGAUACUACCCCUUAGAAAGCCAGAUGUUUAAACCGCAUGUGGCAGUUAGGUGAGCUGUAAGCUGCAGCAACAAAUGCUUUGCGUGUCAGGUUUCCUUUGUGAUUUUUCUGUUUUAACUCAUUUUCUCCGCUCUAAAUAUUCUUUUGGCGUUUUAAUUCACAUUCACAAGUGGCCCCAGGAUGGCGUCGUCUAGUUCUGGUGCUAACCAUAAACCACCUCCAGUUCCACCUCGUCCAGUGAAUUUGCCACGCCCAAGUAUGCUGCAGUCUGAGGGUCAGUCUGAAAGUCAGAUAUCCUCCAGAUGCAGAUACAUAGUUUUGGUGUAUCUCCUAGUCGUGGUAAUACUACUGCUGGCCUUGGUUCAAUGGGAACUUGUGUGCUACUAUAAAUCAUUAACAGAUAUUUUCUUGGCCAAGUACUGGAUUAGUGUAUCCUGCAUGCUGAUCUCAGCUCCACUUUUGGCCAUAUUCCUGCUAAUUCGACAAGUUCGAUAUUUUCCAAUUCUGGGAUGGCUGCUUAUGUGCUCCAUUAUAGAGUUGAUGGUAAUUGGUGUUUGUACCUUGGCUGCUUACUGCCAUGCGCUCACCUUUCUGAUUUACUUUACCAUAACUGCGAUUUUGGUGAUCGUCCUUGUGCUGAUUGGAUCCUUUAUUCCCUGCGACUUAACUGCUAAUGUGGCUUCGCUGUUCAUCGUCAGUGUUCCGAUAUUGCUGUAUAGCAUAUAUUUACUUAUGAUCUUCAUGAUGAUUGAUUCGGACGAUGGAUUUUUCAUAUCCUUCGCUGUAUUGGUUUUGGUUAUAGUGUGUAUGUUUAUCAUGUACCAUGCCCAACUAAUUAGCGGUUGGCGAUACGCAGAGCUAUAUAUCACCGAUGGACUCUUUGCCGUGAUCGUCCUUUUCUGUCACUUCUGCAUUAUCCUGAUGCUUUUCUGCUUUUUGGAUUGGCCCCAAAUUGAUGAUGUUGAUGAUACUGAUUCUUCUGAAUUUGGUAAAUCUUCAACCACUUAUGAUUUAACUAAAAACCUGCGCAAUAAAUUCGGUAUUGGAAUUUUUAAUACGGCCCAACCUUUUGAAGAUGUAAUAAAUCUUUGACUGAAGUUAAUGUAAAAUAAUAUAUAUAUAUUGUUUCCUUUAAGAAACAUGACCAUGCCUCGACGAAUGAACAGCGGCACCAACACUUAUUAUUCACUUAUUAUUGCCACGAUAAUCCCUAUCUUGUUUUAAUCAAAUUGAGCCGGGACUUAUCUCUCAUUGGCAUAACCAAGGAGGAAAGGAGCAAGCGAGUAGUGGCCAUCUGGCAUGUGGCUUAAAGGAUUCCCCCGGCUGGGAAUAUAAAUUAUCGCAUUAUGCUUGCAGCUCAGCUUUUUCGCCCGCCGUGCCAUGAUACCAAUUAGUAUAAUUACCAGGGGAAGAAAAAUGAAAACAGCACUUUUUAGUUGGUAAAUACUUAAUGAAAAGCGCAGUUCUACUCCGCAUUUGCACAUUGCUGUGCAGUGGGCAUUAAUUUUUAUGAAAUUGUUUUAACUUUUAAGCAGCUUACUGGGCUCUGUGGCCAUUGGUCUCCUCAGCUGUCAUUGAAGAUGAUUUUUUGGGUCAGACCACUCAGGACUUCGGGCGCCUGCUAAGCCCACUCGUCGACAUUAUAAUAACAUCCAUCAUUCUGGACCAUACACAAAUGACAACAACUGCCAAAAAGUAGCACAGUAGUAAAAAUAUAAACAAAACGGCCAAGGCACAGGGAAAACAAAUAAAAAAAAUAAGUAAAAGCCAAAAACAAGUUUCACUUGGACUGCUCACUGAGUAAACAUGACAUAUUUUUGUUUACCCAAAACGUUUUCCUCGUUCUUCUUGUUAGAAAAGGUGGCUGAUGGGCCUUUUAGGCCAGAAAUGAAUGGGCCCUUUGACCACCAUUUAACCUGCCGUUUCGCCGCCUUCAUACACUCGUCUUUAUGCCUUCAUAUAUAUGUAUAUUAAUAUACAUAGGAAUAUGUAUAGGAAUGUGUAUGAGUGUUUAUGCAUCCAAUAAUAAGCAAUUCGUGCACAUAAUUGGCAGUGGCAUGAGCCGAAGCGGACAAAGUAAAUAGCCAUAAUUAAUGUAUACAACAUAAAUGUGACCUGACCGAAAUACGAAAAGCGGUCGAAGCUCACGAAACGACGGAGCCUCAAAAGAAAUGUUUGUCUUCAACGGUGCACAGUGGCUCAAAAUCACAGCUGAUUUUCAGACUUGCUUUCCAUUUUCAAUCUCAUAUAAUAGCAUUGGGGCUAUAAGAAUGAUUAUAAUUUUUACCAAAAAUCAAAUUUAAAAUGGAUAUUGCUGAUUACACAUAUCCCAUAACAAAGGUCUCCUUGGAGCUAUUCCACUGCCAUCUGCUGAACGUUGUAUGCUGUAUAAUGCGUAUACGCCACGUUGUACGCAGUGGAAAAUGUGCAAUAAAGACCGUUUUUUUUUUCAUUGAUACGCAAAGCAGCGAUAUGGGCAUCUAUGUUAUACAAUGCAAAGUGUAUAUUGAGUGCGGAAUGUUUAAGCCAGACAUCUCUGGGAAAUUGUGAAGGAUGAAAAAAAGGGGGCGAGUGCGGACGGAAAAAAGAGCAUCAGCCGCAAAAUUGGCAGAAACAACAGGAAAAUGUUUUUCGCCGGCGUCGCGAUGCUGUUUCGCUGAUGUUUCUCCGGCUGAUUGCGUUGACGAAAUCGCAUUGACGGUCGAAAACACAGCGAAAAAUAAUAAUAAACCAUUUAAAUAAAAAAUUCAAAAAUGACAAUGAACAAAAUUGAAAAACCAAUCUUUCAACCGCAGGGACUACAUAUUUUUGAAUUGACUAUUAA